UUCAAAAUACCCACAGUUGCUGUGAACACACAUUUCAUUAUUAUUGAAAACGUGCUUUUUGUAAUUUUAACUUAAAUUAUUCACCAUAUCUUUCAAUUACUGUCAUGGUUUAUGCCUGUGGCUCCCAGGCCUCAUGAGUUUGCAUUGCAUAUUUCUGAUUGGUUCAUUGUCUAGUGCUUGGAUUGAUGGUGUCAGUGCUCCACCCACAAAGGGGUAAAACCAAGAUAUGAUGUAAUGGCAGGAAGAAGGUGUGUCUUGCUCUUUUGCCAGUUUCUGCCUUGCUGUUUGCAGCCGCCAUGAACUGUGGCCCCGCCAGACCACCCUGUCUUGGAGCCAAUUGAGUAUGGACUGAAACCUCCAAAAACUGAUUCCUGAAGACAGGCAUCAAAAGCAAACAUACACAAAUGGAAUUUCAUGAAACUAAAACUCUUCUAUAUAGCAAAGAGAAAAAUUAACAGAAUGAAGAUUUGGGGAUUUGGAGACAAUAUUUGCAAAACAUACGUCUAGGAUUCAAAAUUUGCAAGGAAAGAACUCAAACAUCUCAAUAGCAAAUAAACAAUUCAGUUACAAUGGACAAGUGAAUGAAUAGACAUUUCUCAAAAGAAGACCUACUAAUGGCCAAGACAAGUGAGAAGUGACCAGUAUCACCACUCUUCGCAAUAAAAAUUUGAACCACAAUAAGGUCUUAUUUUUCCUGAGUUAAGGUAGGCAUCAUCAAAAAGAAAGUGAUAGCAAAGAUGUAGACAAAAGGGAACACUUGCACAUUACUGGCAGGAAUGUAAAUCAGUACAGCCAUUUUGGAACAUAGUAUAGCAGACCCUAAAAAACUAAAAAUAAUGCUAUCAGCAAUCCGACUCUUUAAUACAUGCCCAAAGGGAUUGUAAUCCCUAUGUCACAGGGAUCUGCACUCCCAUGGUCAUUUCAGUGUUAUACCCAACUGUCACGAUAUGGAAGCAACCUAAGUGUACAUCAACAGAUGAACAGAUAAAGGAAAUGUGUGUGCAAAAAUGAAUACUGUACAGCUCUGAAAAGGAAAUUACGUCAUUCACUACAACAUGGAUGAGAACAUGAAUGGACCCGAAGGAUAUCAUAACGCUGUUCUUGUUUCCCAUCAUCAAGUCUGCGGGAGGUUGGAUGUGCCCAGGAGUUCUCCAAGAGUCCCCUGGGAUCAAGAUCUUCCAGGCUGAUACAGCUGGGAGGUGCUGAAAAAGGUCCUCAGGUCGCAGGAGGGCUGCAGUCACCAGGCACCGUGCAGUGGGAACCUGUCCCUCAGACUGCCUGUCUGGCGAUGCAAGCUCUUCAUACAUGUCCCUGCCACCAUGUGCCACCAUGUGUUACCAUGCACAGGCCAGCCCAAAGGAUCUGCCCAUUGGGACCUUGAACCCCCAAAAACCUGUGAGCAAGAUAACCCAUUAAUUUUUAUAAAGUUAACUCAUUCUAGUGGUGAAACUCUUACCAACACAAAAUAUUGUCAUCCCUACUUGUAUCCUGAACACAUUUGUGUGUAUAUCGUCAUCUCAAGACAUUUUCACCCUGCUCUAGCAUGAAAGCUACUUGUCCAUUUCAUUUUUCUGUCUUCCCCUGACACACCUAUCUCACCCAUCUUCUGUUCCCUUAAAUACACCUGUCUCUUGAACGUGGUCAGAACUCAAUAUGUAUUUAAUUCAACUCAAGCUGAAUUAAAUGAAACCAAGGCACAUAUAGUCAUGUAUCUGCAGCUGUAUUCCCUUACAUUGAUAAGUGAUGACCUCACCUGCCUCUUGCUGGUAGAUAAAAUUAUUUUAAUAGCUUGGUAAGUAUAUUUUUCACAAAAUAUGAGUCAUAAAUUCACUCAACAAUGGUGGGUUUCUCUUGCAUAAAUAACUUCAAAAGCAUCUUCUAUUCUAUAAUCAGUGCAUUCGAAUGUGUAGCAUUUAAGAUCUGCAGACCAGUGAGCUCCAGCCAAGAAUUUCAUGCUCAACCUUGGACUUCUAAAUUCAGACCACGAUAUUUCAGAACACAAAGACAUCCUGGUGAAUAGAAACCAUAGAACUGAGGUCCUCAUGAGUCAUAAGCAAUGUUCUAUUUCCCCGUCUGUUCCACCAAGUACUGCUUUGUUUAACCACAUAUAUUUUCCAGGAGAAACUUGGACCCAAAAAGAAUAGACACAUGUAAGAUAAUUGAAUAAAGUAU